UACGAGUGGUGCAAGCGUUAUUCGGAGUUACUGGGCGUAAAGGGUGUGUAGGCGGUUCUUUAAGUUUGGUGUGAAAUCUCCCGGCUCAACCGGGAGGGUGCGCCGAAUACUGAGGGACUAGAGUGCGGUAGAGGAUAGUGGAAUUCCCGGUGUAGCGGUGAAAUGCGUAGAGAUCGGGAGGAACACCAGUGGCGAAGGCGGCUAUCUGGACCAGCACUGACACUCAGGCACGAAAGCGUGGGGAGCAAACAGG
rnacentral:rRNA from 1 species